rnacentral:piRNA from 1 species
UAGAUGGUGUUCUUGAUAGUUCAGAUCC